ACAGUUAUAUCUGAGGAAUAGCUACAGCGAGAAAGAAGAGGUUGGGAGAAGCUAAGAAGAAGGAAAGAAGAGACACUACAGUGGAAGAACACACUUUGGGAAGAGCAGGAUCAGCCCCUUUUUCAUUUCGGUUUCCCUCUUCUGCUGCACCUUCUUCAGUUCGACAGUAUCCCCUUUGUGUAAUCUGGUGACCGGAACAAUACACAUUACUUCUGAGGAACAGCUACAACUGGAAACAAGAGGUUGGGAGAAGCUAAGAAGAAGGAAAGAAGAGACACUACAGUGGAAGAACAAACUUUGGGAAGAGCAGGAUCAGCCCCCUUAUCAUUUCAAUUUCCAUCUUCUGCUACACCUUCUUCAGUUCGACAGUAUCCCCUUUUAGUAAUCCGGUGACCGGAACGAUACACAUUACUUCUGAGGAACAGCUACAACUGGAAACAAGGUCAGCUUCAUGUUGUUGUUGUUGUUCUUGUUCUUGUUCUUGUUGUUGUUAUACCCCAGUAAGCUCCCAGACCACCUUGGGUUUAUUUUCUCUUUUUGACAGUUAAAGCACCACAUUUUCAUUGAUGCCAGGAGAUGUUGAACAGUAGGGCACACAUCUUGGGGUGCCUCUGCUAUGGCACAAGAGAUAUUCCCAGACUGAUUGGGCAAGGUUCGGACCACAAUGUGUGUCUGGACAUUUAAAUUUGCAUUCUGAUUGGGCAAAACCUCUCGGGUUUUUAAAUUCUGUCUUGAUCGAAUUGGGCAAGAUCUCUAGGAUUUUUAAAUUGUAUAUGGAAUUGGGCAAGAUCAAAGGCCUGUGUGGGCCUCGAUUUUUAAAUUGUAUCCCCCAGCUUGACAUUGACAUUUGUAUUCUGAUUGGGCAAGACCUCUAGGGUUUUUAAAUUCUGUAAGGAAUUGGGCAAGAUCAGGGCCUGUGUGGGCCUCGAUUUUUAAAUUGCAUCCCCCAGCUUGACUGAGCACACAGUCUCUAGGUUCCCUUAGAGUGGAUUGGGCAUGAUACCAUUUUUUUUUAAAUUUCCAUGUUUGGGCAGCUUUAAGCCAGUGGACUGGAGUCCCAUGAGCUUGGAAUCUCCAAUGGCUCAACUGGCCAAGACAAUUGGUGUCUUUAAAUUCUGUCUGGGCCUUUUGGACAUAUUUUUUAGCUGGGGGUAGUGUUAAAUUUGGAUGGACUGACCACCCACUUUUAUUCAUGCUCUUGAUCAAGUCUGAAUCAAAUGGAUCACGUUGCGUGUUUUAUAUGCGCUGUGUCCCAGGUUUUGAAUUACCCAUGAAGAGAUGACUUCUUGUUUCGUGCGCUCAUGGCCAUCUCGGAUCCUUAUUCCUUACUCAAGGAAGGCAUUGAUUUUGAAUGCUGGGCUCAAGGUUUUGAUGUUUUUCAGUCUAUUGAUAAAAUGGAAGGAAUCAUUUCACAUGCAAAUGUUUAAAUUGUUUGUGUCAUGCAAGGGUUUUGAGAACUGUUUGGAUUAAAGAAAUAGUUUGAUUGCCUUGUCAGCAAGAAAGGUGCCUGCAGCCUAGGUGCAAAUCAUUCUAUCUUGCACAGACAUAAAAAGCUUUGUGGAAGGUUGACUUUGUUGAAGAUGAUGUUUAGCAUUUUAGCAUUCAAGACUCUUCAGACAUGGAUUGCGUGAACGCCUGGCCUGAGAAAUUGACACAAGAUAGAGCAGAGGUGAAUGCACCUUCUUAAGAAGAGGAAGGCAGAUCACCAAAGGCGGCAGGAGUCCUGUGAUGAGGAUGGGGUGAGUACCUGGGCCUGACUGGUUGGAUGAAACCCCAUCCGUACUGGACCUUUUCCAUACCAGAUGCCAAUUUUUUUUAAAAAAAUUAAAAGUUUGGCACUGACAUUUCUUAGUGACUCUUCUACUUAGUUUGCGAGAAGUUAAGAAGAAAGCCAGAAGAAACUCUACAUUCAUCUCAUGCACUUUAGUAAGGGAAGGACCAGCCCCUUGGAUCAGCCCCUUGAUCAUUUCAGUUUCCCUCUGAUGCACUGAUUGCAGCUCAACAGUAUUCCUUUUUUUGCAGUCCGGUGACCAGAACGAUAAAGAGUAGUUUUCCCAACUGUUGCUAUCCAGGGAGGCACCACUCUGGCCCUCCUGUAGAUGUUUGACUACAAUUCCCAUGAUCCCUGACUACCGGCCACUAUGGAAGUCAUCCUAACUUCAACUGACUUGGAUGUAUGUCUUUUGGCAUUAACUUGAAUUCUUUUCCAAGCUAUUCCAACCAGAGAUGCACAUUCCUAGUUGUCAGUGUCGCCAGAGGUUUCCAGAGGCCUCUCCAUUUUAAGGGUACCUUGCUUGUUCAAAUCACUAUGGAUCUCUUCUCUAUGUGUUGCUGAUGGAGAUGCUUCUCCCCAGAUAAAACCAUAAACCAUGCAUUCGCUUCACAGUGGGUGGGAGGUUGCGGGACAGAGAGGUCCCUACCUGCAUGAGGUCUCACUUUUAUUGUUGCAGACUUCUGCUGCUUGGUCAGAAUUUUAGAUCUGCAAAACAGUGUUGGAGAGAAGGACAGCCCACUCCAUCCAUCGGAGCUCUUUUUACCUCAAAGAUAUUAUCCUUAGUAUUGUUAUUUCUGUUGUUGUUGUUGUUGUUACUGCCACUUUUAAGAGCAUGCCAUAUCUC